rnacentral:siRNA from 1 species
UUUCGCUACUUGUACUCUUUGUA